AAAGUUCCAAAAUAAUACUCUCUAUGUUUUAUAAUAGAUAAAAUUUUGGUCAUUUACAGGCAUGUUAAGAAAAUGUAUUUUCUAAACAAAAAAAAUCAAUGAAAUAUAAUUUAAAAUUAAUUUAUUUAAUUAUAAACAAAAAUAAUAAAAAUAUAAUUGGCUACACCAUAAAAAAAAACAAUUGGCUACAUAGUCUUUGAUAAAAUUAAAGUUACAUAUAUAUAUAUAUAUAUAAACAUCAGAUAAAAUAAAAAUAAUUACCUAAAACAUCAUUUAUAUUGAAACGGAAAAAUACAUUUUAAUGCAAAAUGCAAACAUUCGGUUAUUUCACAACGCCGAAUAUGAAAAUGAGCUUUGUAAUCAAUUCAUUUCCAUAUUACCCUGACUGAGAGG
rnacentral:lncRNA from 1 species